GGUGAGGGCCCAGCUGAGGUCUGGGGAGAGGACUCUGCAGGCAGAGGAAAUGGGCCGAGCAAAAACCCCGAGGCAAGAGAGUGCCUGGUGUGUUCUAGAAGGAGCAAAAAGACACCAGUGUGCCUGCAGCAGAGUGAGCAAGGAAAAGGCGAAGCAACCGAGUCGGAGAGAAAAUAAUUGGAGCCCUUCAGACCAGAGAUGACAGCAGCCGGAACCAGGGCAGUAGCAGAGGGACCUGUUAAGAAGAGUCUGUGCUCUGGAUUUGGGUUGUGGGCACAGCUCACAGGAUUCCCAAUGAACUGACCGUUGGGUGUGACAGACGACUCCAAGGGGCAUUAGAUGCAUGGAGGUUACAGCUAUUAAGGAUUUUUACUAGGGCUGUAACUCUCAGGAGGAGAGGAGGCAGCCAAUAGAAGCCACGUUGUGACAUGGAGAAGACCUGACCAUUCAUCUGAACACGGGAUGGCAGAGAAGGAGGCCAAUUCACUGCUUCGUUCUACAUCUUUAUUGAGAUUCGACUGCCGGGCACGUGCAAGUCCCCAAGGGGACAACGGUGAACACAACAGCAUGGUCCCUGACUCAGUGGAACGCCCUGACUUGCUGGUACUUAGGAAGCAAACCAAAACUUUAACUGUUAUUGCUUUAAUUAUAACUUCAAUGAAUUAAUAUGCAAAUACUAAACAUUAAAUUAGAUAUACAAUUAAUAAAUAUGUAAUAUGAUAUAUAAUAUGUGUCACAUAAAAUAUAAAGUAUAAUAAAAUAUACAUUUAAUAUAAAUGUAAUUUGA